UACUGAGAAUAAAAUGUGUAGUCUGGCCUGCCCACUGAAGUUUAAAGGGCCGCGGUAUCUGAACCGUGCUAAGGUAGCAUAAUCAAUAGUCUUUUAAUUGAAGUCUAGAAUGAACGGUCGGACGAAAAAUUAACUGUCUUGAGUGUAAAAUUGAAUUUUACUUUUAAGUGAAAAGGCUUAAAUAAAAUGAGGGGACGAUAAGACCCUAUAAAGCUUUAUGUUAAUUAUUUUGAAGUUUUUAAAUAUUUGGGUAUUUUAUUUUUAAAAAAUUAAUAUUGUGCUGGGGCGGCUAGAAUAUAAGUUUAACUGUUAGUUAACAAAAAUAAUUAUAUUUAGAUAAAAAUGAUCCUUUAUUAAGGAUUAAAAGAUUGAAGUUACUUUAGGGAUAACAGCGUAAUUUUUCUUGAGAGUUCAUAUCGACAGAAAUAGUUGCGACCUCGAUGUUGAAUUAAAAUUUCAUUAAGGUGUAGGAGCUUUAAUAGUAGGUCUGUUCGACCUUUAAAAUUUU
rnacentral:rRNA from 1 species